rnacentral:lncRNA from 1 species
CCGGAAGUCGGCAGGAGCUCACUCCAGUCGUGGAGUUCCAAGGGAUGGUAGCGUACUGGGUCAGCUGCAGUCUGGUUACGACACUAAAUGCAAGUAACCAUGACCAAUUCUGAAAUAAGGAUUUGGUGGUUGUAAAAAAUGCAGAGGAUAAAACUAGCUCACAGCUCCAGAUUAAAUGAGUAAUACUGGAAAGUGAUGAAGCGCUGAGAAGACAGAACAAG